AGGUCUGAUGGUAAUAAAGUUGUGGAAGCAUACAAUGCUUUAUCUUCCGAGUUGGAUCAGUCGAAAGCACGUGCAAGUUCACUGGAAGACCUUGUUUGCAAACUCCAAUCAGCUACUGGUAAUGUUGGUGAAAGUGAAAUUGUCGAAAUUGAUGAAAGUAAGGAAACAAUUGAGGCAGAACUGUCUUCUCUGAAAUCUGAAGUUCAACGUCUGAGGGCUGAUCUGAAAGCAGCUGACAUCAAAUACAACGAAGAGAAAAAUCGAAGCACACUUGAAAUAAGAAGUGCCUAUGAGUUAGUG
rnacentral:lncRNA from 1 species